rnacentral:rRNA from 1 species
UACGUAGGGGGCGAGCGUUGUCCGGAUUUAUUGGGCGUAAAGAGCGUGUAGGCGGCCAGGUAGGUCUGCUGUGAAAACUCGAGGCUCAACCUCGAGACGUCGGCGGAAACCAUCUGGCUAGAGUCCGGAAGAGGAGAGUGGAAUUCCUGGUGUAGCGGUGAAAUGCGCAGAUAUUAGGAAGAACACCGGUGGCGAAGGCGGCUCUCUGGAACGGUACUGACGCUGAGACGCGAAAGCGUGGGGAGCGAACAGGAUUAGAUACCCGUACGCAGACCAA